rnacentral:rRNA from 1 species
AACGCGAAGAACCUUACCCGGGCUUGACAUCCUGUGACAUCCUAAGAGAUUAGGUUUUCUAGCAAUAGAACACAGAGACAGGUGCUGCAUGGCUGUCGUCAGCUCGUGCCGUGAGAUGUUGGGUUAAGUCCCGCAACGAGCGCAACCCUUAUUGCCAGUUGCCAUCAUUUAGUUGGGCACUCUGGCGAAACCGCCCCGGAUAACGGGGAGGAAGGUGGGGAUGACGUCAAGUCCUCAUGGCCUUUAUGUCCAGGGCUACACACGUGCUACAAUGGUUGGUACAAACCGUCGCAAACCCGCGAGGGGGAGCUAAUCGGAAAAAGCCAAUCCCAGUCCGGAUUGGAGUCUGCAACUCGACUCCAUGAAGCUGGAAUCGCUAGUAAUCGCAGAUCAGCACGCUGCGGUGAAUACGUUCCCGGGCCUUGUACACACCGACAUA